rnacentral:tRNA from 2 species
GGGCUUGUAGCUCAGGUGGAUAGAGCGACUGCCUCCUAAGCAGUAGGCCGCUGGUUCGAGUCCAGCCAAGCCCA